UUACCUGCUGAGCCAUCUCACCAGCCCCCAAGAGUGGCUUUUAAAAAGCAGCUAGCUCUUUCUACCUCACCUGAAGAUUGAAGGUGGUAGGGAAAGUGAAAAUGCCAGGGGAUGUCUAGGGCCUUAGAUAGAAUUUGAAAAAUCUGGGAAGUAAUUCAGGACCAUUGUCUGAUUGGAGAGAAGCUGGCCCCUUCAUGUAGAAAGGAGCUGCCAUCUGUAUACCAGGUAUAGAUGGCCUGGAGCGAUGUGUCCUCUCAUAUGUGUGAAGGAUUAGGUUCCUCUAAAGUUUCAGUGCAUGAGUGAGAUAGGAAGUGGUUAAUAUUAGAUCAAGCAAGAAGACUGGAAAUAUUAAGAUGCGAGCAUGAUUGGAAGGAGGAUUAAAUACCAGCAAACUUCAGAAGCCUUCGUGGGAAGAGUCAACAGAGGCCAGAUGUACCCUAUAACACCUUUCAGACAAGAAGCACUGUUCACUGAAAACACUGGCAUCGGAACCCCCGCCUGAUGCCCAGGAGCACAAACCCCAGCCUUGUGCCUCUCACAGAUGCUCGGGGGGGGUGGAAGAAGGAUCUUCACACGUGAAACCAGAUCAGUUCUGGCCAAGAUCUAAAUGCUAGAAGCUUCUGGGCAUUCCUAGAACUUCUGGAAGCUUCUGAAAAUUGUUUUCCUGCUUGGUAAAAGUAAACGAAUAGGGAAAAAAGCCUAGCUGUAAAAGGGCCAAGGACCUCCUGAUAUGAGCUACAUAGACUUGGUCCAACCAAGAGGGAACAUUACCAAGUUGAGGGUAGCGGACAGUUCCUGAGAGACUCUCUCCACAGCUCUAGAACCAUCUGCCUUGGACUGUCUCUUUCCAGAAGGCCACUGAACCUCCUCUUGAUUUAGCCAUGUCAAGAUAGUAGUCUCCACAUUGUAGAGUUAAAACAUAGUCAUGUUCUUGGUUACAAAAAGCCACUGCUUCCCUGAACACACAGCUCUCUUCAACCAUCUGAGCUAACAGCAAGCUUAAUUGGCCUGACGUGUACCUGCUGUGGAUCCUUCCAAGACAUCAGAAGUCAACAGCUCACCAUCAUUCUGCGUCAUCAAUCAUUUCUUCCUCAAGACAAAAGCAGCUUGCCCCUGAACUGAAGAGAUCUGUCAGGACUCACCCACCAUCCUCUCUAUUUUGUUCACUUUGGAAUAACCCCACAUUGGUUGAGCCUUUUGGGGCUGACUCCAGAGACUUGAGUCUAAGGAUAAACAGGCUCUUGCCAUCUCA